AUUUGCAUAUGUUGAACAAGCCUUGCAUCCCGGGGAUGAAGCAAACUUGAUCACGGUGGAUAAGCUUUUUGAUGUGCCGCUGGAUUCAGUUUGCCAGUAUUUUAUUGAGGAUUUUUGCAUUGAUGUUCAUCAGAGAUAUUGGCCUGAAGUUUUCUUUUUUAUUGUUGUAUCUCUGCCAGGUUUUGGUGUCAGGAUGACGCUGGCCUCAUAAAAUGAGUUAGAGAGGAGUCCCUCCUUUUCAAUUGUUUGGAAUAGUUUCAGAAGAGAUGGUACCAGCUCCUCUUUGUACCUCUGGUAGAACACAGUGAUAAAUCCAUCUGGACCUGAGCUUUUUUUGCGUCUUUCUUUGUCGCCCAGGCUGGAGUGCAGUGGCGGGAUCUCAGCUCACUGCGGCUUACACCUCCCAGGUUCAAGCGAUUCUUCUGCCUCAGCCUCUCAAGUAGCCGGGACUACAGGCAUGCACCACCACACCUGGCUAAUCUUUGUAUUUUCAGUAGAGAUAGGGUUUCACCAUGUUGGUUAGAUUGGUCUCAAACUCCUGACCUCAGGUGAUCUGCCUGCCUCAGCCUCCCAAAGUGCUGGGAUUACAGGUGUGAGCCACCACGUCUGGCCAUCUGAGCCUAAGUCUUAAGAAGACCUGAUCAUUUCAAUUCAUGCUCUUAGGAGUCUAUAGUCACCAUUUGAGUCUUGCUGGAGAAAGCAUGUGAAAAAACCACAAGGAGGGAGCAAGUGGAAAGGAAGAGGUCCUGAAACAACAGAGAAGAAUCAAAGAAACAAGUCAAUCGGGAGAAGCACAGCCUGCUCGUUUUCCCAGUUGAGCCAUUGCAGCCAGCCUCGAACUAUUCCAGAAAUUCUAGCAGAGGUACCAGGCAUGUGAGUGAGUGAAGGAGCUUUCUUGGACCUUCUAGCCCUAGCAGACACAACGCAGAGCAGAAACAAGCCAUCUCCACUGUUCUGUUUGAAUCCCUGACUCACAGAAUUGCAUACAAGUAAAAUGGUCGUUAUAUUAAGCCACUUAGUUUUAAGAUUGUUUAUUAUGCAGCAGCAGGUACGUGAAACACCAAGGAAAUUUUUAACAAUGUUCAAGAAAAGCUGAUAUUUCCUUUUGUUUCUCUUCCCUAUAAUGUUUGGCUCUAUGCAAGUGGAAAAAAGAGUGUGCUUUCGUGUUCUGUCCAUUCUACCAGAACUUUAGCUGAAGUCAUUAGGAAAGGUGUACCUAGUUGAGAUAACUACUCUUAUAAAAUCCUUUAAUAUGGAACAGAGGGUGGCAGGAGGCAGCCAAAUGCCUAGGCAGAUAGGGACGGGUCCCCGGUGAAACCCCACCUCCAAGCCAAAGACAGUUUAAAGCCUGAAAGCCAAGCUACAAGUUAAAUCCUCAGACCAGAUUGAGAACUUGUUUUCCUAUUUGGCAUGCUUUCCUCUGAUUGGUCCCCACCCUUAACCUAUUUUACAUAUACCUACCCUUUCCUAAUUGGUUUUCUACAUUGUCAUGCCCACCUUUGAGUGGUGUCUUCACUUUAAACUUUUUUGCUACUCACAAACCAAUCAGCAUGCAUUCCCCAUUCUGAGUCCAUGAAAGACCCUGGACCCAGCCACAGAGGGACUUUCACACCUUCAGGUAGGGGGACCACUCCCAUGUUCCCUCUCCACUGAAAGCUGUUUCAUCGCUCAAUAAAAUUCUUUUCCAUCCUCCUCACUCUUCAGUGUCCUGCGUAUCCUCUUUCUUCUUGAGUAUGGUACAAGAGCUCAGGGAUCGCUGAAUGUGGGUACAAGCUAUAACACAGGCAAGUUGGGGCAUGCCAGCAUGGCUGAGUGGGGCCCAGGUGGGGCAUUGCCAGCCAGAGAUCUUCAGCUUGCAAAGCAAGCAAGAAGAAAAAUCCUACAUCAGAACUUUAUGAGGGAAAUCAAGGAUUAGCUGAUCUCAUUCUGUGGAAUGAGCAUGUUUAGUUGACAACAUACCUGUGCACAACAAAGAAGGGAUGAUAUAUAGUGGUUUUCAGCCUUCAUUCCUAAUUCUUUCUCACUGUAAAUUCAUCAAAAGCCUUAGUUGGGUAUCCAACAAAUAUUAAUUGAUCAUCUAUAACAUGCAAGGUACUGUUCUAGUGUAACUGAGUUAUCCCAAUUUUUCUAAGAGAUAUAGAAUGAGGUUUUUUUCUCUUCUUUUCUCUUUCCUCCCUUUCCCCAAUUCCCCCACUUCUUACUUAGCUCUUUAGAAAUGCAGUUAAAACCAUUUACCUUCCCUUCAACAGGCAAAAUUAUCUAACCAUGUGCUUACUUAAAAGCUCCAGGGCAGAAAUAUCUCCCACCAGGAGAUUGCCUUGAGAGACAAUAGUCAAUUUAUAACCAAAAGUAUGCCUGCUACAAAAUUCUCUCCCACCUGGAGAGAAUCUGGAGACAAGACCACUCUACAAUCUAGUUCUGACCAUGAUGGUGCCAGCUCAACCACCCAGUAGGUCAAAUACCAAAACAAGUCACAUGGACUCCCCACCAGCUCACUCCCUCCCUGCGUGCCAUUCAUGCCACAUUCCCUCUUAAAAUCCCCUGCUUUCUGCUCCAAAAGUGAAGCAGUACCCUUAAGGCAGGAAGCCUAUACUUCUUCCCCUAAGCUAGCUUUGGAAUAGAAAAUCACGUUCUUUAUACCAGACCUCAUUCUUGUGCGCUGCACUCUGCAAGCAGUGAGUGACUGCUUUGCACUAGCAUGAUGCAUACAGCAAGGAAUACAGCAAAUUCCCCACCUUUGGGAUCUUCCCUGCACGGAUCAUGUAGGAAGUGGUGGGAUGGGCUGGGCUGGGCUGGGCUGGAUCAGAUCGAUUUUGUGACAUGCAGGCUUUAUAAACCCUCUUUUGCCACAGUUUCAGAGGGGUCCUAAUGCUGCUGUUAUAAAAAUAACUAAAUAAUAAAAAUUAAAAUUGAGAAGUCCAUGUUACUCGUUUAUUAUAGAAAAUUCUGAGUUUCCAUCUGCAAUUCAGAUUUUUAAUAUAGUGUCUUCCUCAACUGUCUUGAAAGCUGAGUGAUUUCUUCCACAGCUGUCCAAUCUCUGCGGCUAGUUACCCUUUGUCCUAGGAAACCAUUCUCUUGUCACCUACAGACCCUGAAGCUUCUGUCCGGAAAACAUAGUUUCUCACUCAGCUGCCUUUUUGCCUAUAUAUUGGCUAGAGCAGCAGGAGAUUGAGUCUGUAAUGAAAUGGAAAGCCCAUGUGCCCAAAUUAGGCAUCUCUGAUAAAUGGAACCCCAUUAGACUCCUCCUCUAAUGGCCACAGAUCCUGGGUUUUAAAACAGUAUUGCUGGUUUGACUUACUAAGGCUGAUCAGCUUCCUGCAUUUCUCAAUCUUACAAAAAAUCACCACCCCUCCACCCUAGCCUGUCACCACCCUCUGUGUUCCCAUGCUCCUUAAAGACUGCAUUCCACAGUGCUUGCGUUAAUGGGGUGGAGAGGCAAGGUUCAGCUUCUCAAAGAAAGGCUUACUCAGAGAAUACACAGAUCAACUGUUGGGAGUUCCUAUCCAUUUGCCUUGUUGUUUUUACAACCUGUGUACUGAAUAAUGCUGAGAACAGUAAAUAGUGAACAUGAUAUGUUGCUGUUAUCCGAGGUUUGUGUG
rnacentral:lncRNA from 1 species